AUUUUAAAAGUAGGUCAAGAUUGCAAAACCUCAAGUUUUCAACCAAAAGACGGAAGCAUUUGCUUGAAACUUACAGUUGUGGCAGGUGUCCGUGUGAACUUUGGUGUGGAUAAAAAUGAGGGUGGUAAGCAAAACCAAGGACAACAGAAAAUACUGAGUAAAUAUCUGGGACAGAAACAGGAGCUGGAACAACAGAAAAAAGAACAGAUAAAGAAGCUGAAAGAGCCAAGAAAAA